rnacentral:rRNA from 1 species
UCGGGAAUCUUGGACAAUGGGCGCAAGCCUGAUCCAGCCAUGCCGCGUGGAUGAUGAAGGCCUUAGGGUUGUAAAAUCCUUUCGUGGGGGACGAUAAUGACGGUACCCCAAGAAGAAGCUCCGGCUAACUUCGUGCCAGCAGCCGCGGUAAUACGAAGGGGGCUAGCGUUGUUCGGAUUUACUGGGCGUAAAGCGCGUGUAGGCGGGUCGUUAAGUUGGGGGUGAAAUCCCGAGGCUCAACCUCGGAACUGCCUUCAAAACUGGCGACCUGGACUCAAGCAGAGGCAAGUGGAAUUGCGAGUGUAGAGGUGAAAUUCGUAGAUAUUGGGAAGAACACCAGUGGCGAAGGCGGCUAACUGGUCCGGUACUGACGCUGAGGUGCGAAAGCGUGGGGAGCAAACAGGAUUAGAUACCCCCGUAGUCCCUGAGCGGGCUGGCAAGGCGCAU